UGGGGAAUUUUGGACAAUGGGCGAAAGCCUGAUCCAGCAAUGCCGCGUGUGUGAAGAAGGCCUUCGGGUUGUAAAGCACUUUUGUCCGGAAAGAAAUCCUUGGCUCUAAUACAGCCGGGGGAUGACGGUACCGGAAGAAUAAGCACCGGCUAACUACGUGCCAGCAGCCGCGGUAAUACGUAGGGUGCAAGCGUUAAUCGGAAUUACUGGGCGUAAAGCGUGCGCAGGCGGUUUGCUAAGACCGAUGUGAAAUCCCGGGCUCAACCUGGGAACUGCAUUGGUGACUGGCAGGCUAGAGUAUGGCAGAGGGGGGUAGAAUUCCACGUGUAGCAGUGAAAUGCGUAGAGAUGUGGAGGAAUACCGAUGGCGAAGGCAGCCCCCUGGGCCAAAUACUGACGCUCAUGCACGAAAGCGUGGGGAGCAAACAGGAUUAGAUACCCUGGUAGUCCACGCCCUAAACGAUGUCAACUAGUUGUUGGGGAUUCAUUCCUUAGUAACGUAGCUAACGCGUGAAGUUGACCGCCUGGGGAGUACGGUCGCAAGAUUAAAACUUAAA
rnacentral:rRNA from 1 species